rnacentral:rRNA from 1 species
CAGGCCUAACACAUGCAAGUCGAGGGGCAGCAUGGUCUUAGCUUGCUAAGGCCGAUGGCGACCGGCGCACGGGUGAGUAACGCGUAUCCAACCUGCCUUACACUCUUGGACAGCCUUCUGAAAGGGAGAUUAAUACAAGAUGUUAUCAUGAGUAAGCAUUUUCGCAUGAUUAAAGGUUUACCGGUGUAAGAUGGGGAUGCGUUCCAUUAGAUAGUAGGCGGGGUAACGGCCCACCUAGUCUUCGAUGGAUAGGGGUUCUGAGAGGAAGGUCCCCCACAUUGGAACUGAGACACGGUCCAAACUCCUACGGGAGGCAGCAGUGAGGAAUAUUGGUCAAUGGACGAGAGUCUGAACCAGCCAAGUAGCGUGAAGGAUGAAGGUUCUAUGGAUUGUAAACUUCUUUUAUACGGGAAUAAACGAAUCCACGUGUGGAUUUUUGCAUGUACCGUAUGAAUAAGGAUCGGCUAACUCCGUGCCAGCAGCCGCGGUAAUACGGAGGAUCCGAGCGUUAUCCGGAUUUAUUGGGUUUAAAGGGAGCGUAGAUGGGUUGUUAAGUCAGUUGUGAAAGUUUGCGGCUCAACCGUAAAAUUGCAAUUGAUACUGGCAGUCUUGAGUACAGUUGAGGUAGGCGGAAUUCGUGGUGUAGCGGUGAAAUGCUUAGAUAUCACGAAGAACUCCGAUUGCGAAGGCAGCUUACUAACCUGUAACUGACAUUGAUGCUCGAAAGUGUGGGUAUCAAACAGGAUUAGAUACCCUGGUAGUCCACACGGUAAACGAUGAAUACUCGCUGUAGGCGAUAUACAGUCUGCGGCCAAGCGAAAGCAUUAAGUAUUCCACCUGGGGAGUACGCCGGCAACGGUGAAACUCAAAGGAAUUGACGGGGGCCCGCACAAGCGGAGGAACAUGUGGUUUAAUUCGAUGAUACGCGAGGAACCUUACCCGGGCUUAAAUUGCAACCGAAUAUGGCGGAAACGCUAUAGCUAGCAAUAGCGGUUGUGAAGGUGCUGCAUGGUUGUCGUCAGCUCGUGCCGUGAGGUGUCGGCUUAAGUGCCAUAACGAGCGCAACCCUUGCCGAUAGUUACUAACAGGUCAUGCUGAGGACUCUGUCGGGACUGCCAUCGUAAGAUGUGAGGAAGGUGGGGAUGACGUCAAAUCAGCACGGCCCUUACGUCCGGGGCUACACACGUGUUACAAUGGGGGGUACAGAGGGCUGCUACCACGCAAGUGGAUGCCAAUCCCAAAAACCUCUCUCAGUUCGGAUUGAAGUCUGCAACCCGACUUCAUGAAGCUGGAUUCGCUAGUAAUCGCGCAUCAGCCACGGCGCGGUGAAUACGUUCCCGGGCCUUGUACACACCGCCCGUCAAGCCAUGGGAGCCGGGGGUACCUGAAGUGCGUAACCGCAAGGAGCGCCCUAGGGUAAAACUGGUGACUGGGGC